UGCAAAGGAAAUGCAAUGAGUAGCACGAUAAUUAACCAAACUUAUUUUUGGGCAAGCUCUGGUUUUUAGCAUAACACAAUCAUCCAAACACAUGUAAGAAGUCAAUAGUUUGGUGGUUUGGAUAGAAGGAUAUUUAUAGGAAGGCAACUUAUGAGGUAGCCAGCAGUAAUAAUGCGUUCAUCCCAAAAAGAGAUUGGUAAACUAACCUAAAAACACGGAACAUGAGCAACCUUAAGAAGGUUCUGGUGUUUGCAUUCAGCUAUACCAUUCUGUUGGGGUGUAUCACAUGUUCAUUGAUGAAUAAUACCAUUUUGACAAAAAAAGCUGAAAGAUUUGCAUAGAAGUAAACUUACCUCCGUUAUUAAUCCUAAUCUGUUGGACUUGAUAAUGAAAUUGUGUUUGAACUAUGGUUUCAUAUCUUGAUGGGGCAUUCUGCAAG
rnacentral:lncRNA from 1 species